GUGAAUCAUCGAAUCUUUGAACGCACCUUGCGCCCGUUGGUAUUCCGACGGGCAUGCCUGUUUGAGUGUCGUGAACAACCUCAACCUUGAUUGGUUUUACUAAUCAAGGCUUGGACUUGGGUGUUGCUGCUGCAAAGUGGCUCGCCUUAAAACUAUUAGCUGGACUUGUCUAUGACUUGGUUCGACUCGAUGUAAUAAGUAUUCAUCGGGGACAGGGUAACACCUGGCCAAGGCUUGAUGCCGUCUGCUUCUAAUCAUGUUCUCACUAUGAGACGCUACUUUACUGUGUGGCCUCAAAUC
rnacentral:misc_RNA from 1 species